rnacentral:lncRNA from 9 species
GUUUAUAGAUGUCAUCGCAGAGGCAGAUGGGUGGAUAGAAAUAAGAAGAAGCCUUCGGAAGUGCCCAACCCUGCAACACUCCUGAUGAAAGUCCAUCUCUUGGGGGAGGCUUUUCCCUCUGCUGUCCUUGAGCCUUAGGAGCUGGGGGGACAUGUUCCCCUCCAGAAGGAGGUGGAGAUGGGGAGGGGAUGGGGGGAGCUGAGAGAAAAGCUUCUAGUCACGCUGCAGCCACAGUUGUGAGCAGCUGGGGAGGGAGUGGCCCCUCCUCCAUUCACGUCUUUCUAGGACCCUCAGGGGCGCCUUUGCAACGACUGACAAUGACACUGGAAGCCCCAGGAAGGGAUCGCUAAAGCAUCACAGCAGCCACAGCCACAAUCGGGCCUGGGUUCUGAGGAAGGACUGUUUCUCCGACAGCACCUUGCCGUCUUCUUUUAGGAGAGAGCAGGAGAGGGACUCGUGCACGUGCUCAUUUCAGAUCUUUUGCUGGAGGAGGGGUCAUCAGCUGCGCUUGCUGCAGUGGCUUCCCGUCCACCAGCUCCUCCUACUCCCCAGGAAUUACUUCUGCAGUUCACUCUUGUCAAUGGAGGGUUCGAUUCAUAAUCAGCUGGAUGCCACUGUGUGUGUGAGGAUAUGUAUGGAUGUCUUUCUAACGGAAGCCAGUGAAAACCCUUCCAACACAAGGAAGCUGUCACGGCAGUGGGUCCGAGAAGGAUUUCAGAUGAAGGAUGCAGGGAAUGGACCGGCUUUUCUGUGGCUCCCCUUCUCUUUGGAAGCCGGCAUCCAGCUGCAGCCUUGAGCCACAGAAGUGGCAAUGCCGGAUCCUUAACCCACUGCACCAAGGGAACGCGUCAGUGUGAUUCUUCAGAAGACCAUGAAAUCUGGG